AUUGAGCGCUGGCGGCAUGCUUUACACAUGCAAGUCGAACGGUAACAGGCCUUCGGGUGCUGACGAGUGGCGAACGGGUGAGUAAUGCAUCGGAACGUACCCAGAGGUGGGGGAUAACGCAGCGAAAGCUGUGCUAAUACCGCAUGUGAUCUGAGGAUGAAAGCGGGGGACCGAGCAGCAAUGUUUGGCCUCGCGCCUUUGGAGCGGCCGAUGUCGGAUUAGCUAGUUGGUGGGGUAAAGGCCUACCAAGGCGACGAUCCGUAGCUGGUCUGAGAGGACGAACAGCCACACUGGGACUGAGACACGGCCCAGACUCCUACGGGAGGCAGCAGUGGGGAGUUUUGGACAAUGGGCGCAAGCCUGAUCCAGCAAUGCCGCGUGCGGGAAGAAGGCCUUCGGGUUGUAAACCGCUUUUGGCAGGAACGAAACGGUGUCCGCUAAUACCGGGCGCUAAUGACGGUACCUGCAGAAUAAGCACCGGCUAACUACGUG
rnacentral:rRNA from 1 species